ACAUCCUGGGGCUGAAGUAGGUCCCAAGGGUAUGGCUGUUCGCCAUUUAAAGUGGUACGCGAGCUGGGUUUAGAACGUCGUGAGACAGUUCGGUCCCUAUCUGCCGUGGGCGCUGGAGAACUGAGGGGGGCUGCUCCUAGUACGAGAGGACCGGAGUGGACGCAUCACUGGUGUUCGGGUUGUCAUGCCAAUGGCACUGCCCGGUAGCUAAAUGCGGAAGAGAUAAGUGCUGAAAGCAUCUAAGCACGAAACUUGCCCCGAGAUGAGUUCUCCCUGACUCCUUGAGAGUCCUGAAGGAACGUUGAAGACGACGACGUUGAUAGGCCGGGUGUGUAAGCGCAGCGAUGCGUUGAGCUAACCGGUACUAAUGAACCGUGAGGCUUAACCUUACAACGCCGAAG
rnacentral:rRNA from 1 species